GUUCAUUGGUUUAUUUUCGUAAUUAAUUAAUUUAGAUUAUAUUUUAUAAACACGGUCAAAGAAUAAGGAUUAUUUGCAAAUAUCUUAUUUAUAGAAAUUCAAUUAAAACUUAUUUAAUACUAACUCUAAAUACGAAUUGCGUAUCGUAAUUUUAACUAAAAUAUACACUCGAAACCGGAUGGACCGAAGGAUACACGGAGACCGCAUUCUGAAGCAUGACACGUUCCUUCGACACAUCCGGGACGUCAAAAAUUUCGCCCUUUCACCUCCGACUUCUCCAUUGAAUCUACGUAUUAGUUACAACGCUUUUCAAUGGCUUACUUUGCGAGAAUUAAAUUGUCUGCAGCUGUGCGACUUAAAACACAAUCUAAUACACUUAACAGUUAUCUAUACAGGCUGGACACAAAGAAUUCUUUUCCUUAAGCUGUUUGUCUCUUUCCACAAUGCGGUCUUUUCCGAGUGCAGUCCAUCUUCCACACUUACGUAACCCUCUGCAAAUGCUUUGUGCCACUUAAACGUUCGUGUCCCGGCUGCGGGCACGUCUUGUGUUUUCGUCGACUCUCGUACGGAAUUUCUUCGCACGAAACUCUCUUAAAUGCCAUCGUUGCGGUUAGGUGACGCACGUUAGGGUAAAUUGCUCUAGAACGAAACACUCGUUACGACUUGGGCUCGAGAUCGAGUACGAGUGCCUUUUGCGCAUGGCUACGUGCGGCGUGUCUUUACUUUUCUGUCGUACAAAUACAAAUUACACGUAAGAGUUUAUUCGUUCCGGGUCGGUCGUCUCUACUGCAAAUGCAAUUCGAACGUUCUAGCAAUUUCCGGUAGGAUCUAACGCGAGCUCUGUCAAUGAAGAGCUGGCGGUUUUGGCGUUGGCUGCGGCCCAAGAAGAUGAAGAAGUGUGAAGGGCGUUCUCCUUCCGCAAUCGAUGAAGAGAGGGUCUUUUCCCCCUUUGAGCGGGGAGAGGAACUCUCUUCCAUCGAUUGCGGAAGGGGUUCUUCCUUCACGGGAUCGCCUUCGGGAAUAGCGGAUGUCGACAGCAUUCUCUGUUCCGCGUUGAACGGAGAGGAGACAUUUCGCCAUUCGGACGUGUUCCGAAAGGUGAAAUGUCUCCAUGUUGACGACAUCAUCUUUGACGCACUGGGAGGGGAGGAAUGUUUCGAUCAUUCCUCCCUUUUCCAACGAGUGGGAUCCUCUCGUUCGGUGUGGGCAAAGAUGGAAAGGAAAAAGCGUCGCUUCGUAAGAGAAGUGAACGACUUUUUCCUUUGCUAUUUCUGAAGGAUAUUACUAACCUAGGAUAAGAAGGCAAGAGGUUUUUUUCGUUUGUUUUUUCCUCUUGUCAUACUAACAACAUUUAAAUUUAAGGUUUUAGUUUCAAUUUACUAACGUAGGAUAAGAAGGCAAGAGGUUUUUUAUUUUUUAUUUUUUCCUCUUGUCAUACUAAACAUUGAAACUAAAAUCUUAAAUUUAAUUUACUAAUCUAGAUGUAAGUAGACAAGGGGUUUUUAAUUUUUUUCCCCUUGUCGAUCACACUAGAUUAUUAAUUCACAUCCACGCACAUAAACAACAACAUCCCUCACGCUGAAACACACAGUUCAAACAACGACACAUUCGUCGCAUCCAAUCACCAACGAUUCCAUUCACGUGCAUUAUAAACAACACCGUUCACAACCCGAACACGCUUCCCAAAAUCCAACCUCUGGGUCCACGUCCCGGGAAGCGGUAACGUCGGUCGCAAUGGCCGAUGGCCAAAGAGGCUCUGGUAACAAUUUACUUUUGAUA